rnacentral:tRNA from 1 species
CACUGUGUUUCGGACCGGCUGCAAUUCCCGAGUCAACUUCAAAGGCAUUGUCAGUGUCCGCAGAGAGUGUUGUACUGUAUUGUACUGUAAAAAGAAGUGCCUGUUGGAUCAGGCCAGUGCCCAACAAGUCCAGCAUCCUGUUUUCAUCAUCCUGUGGCCAACCAGAUGCCCCAAUGAGAAGCACAUCCGAAUGACAAAGAAGCAGCAGCAAUUCUCCCUCCCACUUGGAAUUCCUAGCAAGAGGUAAAUGGGGCGGGCACAGCACGAGGCGAGGGGGUCACAGAGGGAAGUGAGAAGUGAAGAAAAAAAUCAAUUUGGUUGUUUUUACAAAUCCUGAUCGCCUGGCUAUCUGCUUGGCUAAUCACAAUCGGGUAAGGGAGUGGCUCACCAGGGCCCAAUUCUCCUUUUUGCCCCAUGCGUUUCUUUGGAGCAGUCCUGGUUUGUUUCCAGUGGAAGAAGGUGAUCACUGAGGAUCCUGUUUUGAUCUGUAGAGCCCAUGAUCCAGAACCCCCAGGUCAGUUAAGUGUGGUGGUGGUGUGGCAAUGGGUAGGGCUGGGCAAGCCAGAGCUGCUUGUUGAUACCGCCAGUGCUGGGCCCGGUGGCAGCCUGGGCCUGACUCUGCAAGGCGCGGGGUGAAAUCCACCCCAGCAUCUAGCAGAGCAAGGUCCUCUGGUGCUGCUGACUUGCAUCUAGUAAAUAACUAAAUGUCUACUCAGAAGAAAGCCACACUGAGCUCAGUAGGCUUUACUCCCAGGUAAAGUAUGGGGAGCUAAAAUGUUUUAUCUAGGCAGCCAGGGCUCCUCCAGAUUACAAGAUCUUUUUGCAGCAGGUCAGUGAGGACCACUUGCUUUUUAAAAUUCUCCCAUAUAUACAGAACUCCCUGUACGCCUUUUGGACUGUAUCUGUAGGUUUCCCCCGUCUGGAAUACAUGGAAGAUGAAUCUUCCUUGGGAGGUUCUGGCCUCUCCUUCCUUGAAGGUUUCUAAGCAGAGGAUGGAUGGCCAUCUGUCAUGGAGGCUUUAGCUGAGUUUCCUACAUUGCAGAGGUUGCACUUGGGGUCCCUUCCACUUCUGUGAUUCUACAAUUUUAUGCUUUUAUGCUUCAACAAUACUCCAUUAUGUUCCUAUCAGUUUAUGUAAUUGUAUUUUGUAUAAAUUAUAAAAAUUAUAAAUAAAACAUGUUCUAUUUACAAACAAAAACUUAAAUAGCUACCUUUCUAGGGCAGGGGAGUGCAUGGGCAUAGCCGGGAUUUUUGUUAGGGGGCAGGCUUUUGUUAGGGGGCAGAACCUCAGAUUUGUAUUGUUUUUUGUAUAUUUUUACUUAAUUGGGGGACAGCUGCCCCCCUGGCUACACCGAUGGGGGGCACAGGAAGAAAAGAAGGUCAGAAGGGGGCCAUGGUCAGGAAAAGGUUGGGAAACACUGAUCUAAACUGACAUUUGAAGGAGAACUGGGAGAGUGUAGGGCGGUUGGCUGAAGUAACACCAAGGGAACUCUCAAAAGCACUAGCAACAUUCCCAAAAGGGGUCCUGAGCUUCCUUACUCUCAAGCCAAACCUCUAAAUUGCACUUUACGCUUGAGGGAAUUGUGAGAGCAUUUGGGGAAGGGGCUGUACCUGGAGAGGGGGACCCUGGGAUGAGCACAAGAAGAGCCCUGCGGCUGGGUCAGAGCAAAGGCCUGUCUAGCCCAGCGUCCCGUCCUCAUCGUGAGGGGAGAGACUUCAUCAGACAAGGGCUUCUCCGACUUGCCUUGCCCCAUCCUCUGGCCCUAGGAGUCCUCAGAAGGGAGCUGGUCCUGGAAGAAGAACUGUGAGGGGAGAGACUUCACCAGACAAGGCCUCCUUUCACCUGCCUUGCCCCACCCUCUAGUCUCUGCUUCUCAAUUUGUAUUGUACAGUGGUACCUCAGGUUACAGACGCUUCAGGUUACAGACUCCGCUAACCCAGAAAUAGUACCUCGGGUUAGGAACUUUGCUUCAGGAUGAGAACAGAAAUCGCACGGCGGCAGCGGGAAGCCCCAUUAGCUAAAAUGGUACCUCAGGUUAAGAACAGUUUCAGGUUAAGAACUGACCUCCAGAACGAAUUAAGUUCUUAACCCGAGGUACCGCUGUAUUAUUUUAUGUACUGUGGCUUGCUGUUGUUUUACUGGUUAUAGUUUAGAAAUUAUUUAUUGUAACUGUUAAGAGUGAAUUUCUGUUUAACUUUUAUAUGCUUAUACUGUAUUAUUAUUUUUUACUAUUCUAAUGAUUGUUGAAUGUUACUUUUUUGAUGCAGGUUGCUUAUUUUAAAGUUAUGUUUUAUUAUCGCAUUUUUGUAUUGCAUUGGAUUGUUAUAAGGUGUGCAUUUUGCAUUUUUCGUUGUAAACUGCCUUGAGUAUUGUAAGAUAGAAAGACGGUAUACAAAUUAAAAAUGAUGGUGAUUGUGGCCAUCCAGGUAUUCCAAUGGGAAGUCCACAAGAGGGGCCAGAGCCAUCAACAAGACCCUCAAUACCUUCCACAUGUGCUUGGGUCACCCCUGGAGCAUGCCGCUCACCAAGCACACGCUAAGUUUGGAAGUCAGCUACAGAAAUAGGAACACCAGCAAGGGUAGUGUGAGUCCCGGUUUGUGGAUUUCAUGAGCCUCUUUCUAUUUUUAUGAAUGCCAUCUUUUAGGAGGUGGGCCCUUUUUAACCCACUUUCCUUGUUUAUGACAACAGGGAUACAAAAAUUACAGCAAAAGCACUGCCGUAAACUCUUAUUCCAGCACACUGCUGAGAAAUGUACUUAGAUGAGAGAGAGAGAGAGAGAGAGAGAGAGAGAGAGAAGUCAUAAUCCUCAAAAGCAGGUUUAUAGUACUGCAAAAUUGUGCAGUCCUUAGCAACACAGGGUUCCUCCUUUCCACUGGAAAAAAAAUAUAUCUGUUGCAGUGAGCAAUUGUGGGGAGGGGGGGAUCCAGGGAUCCAAUAAGGCAGCAGAGGGGGGUGGGGGGUUGUGGGAGCAGAACCUGUGGCACAGGAGUCCUAAGAGACUGCCGGAGGUUGCAGAAGGUCAGGAGAAGUUAAGUGCUCAAUUUCAUGACACCAUUAUCCAGGGAAAAUUACAGCCACGUGUGCAAUUGUGUGGCCUCCAACAGCUGCAUCCAGAGGCAUUCCUGCGUCCUUCCAUCCCUAGCUUGCAAAAAAAACACACCAUUUUGGGAGAAAAGCUGGAGGGGAUGCAAGGCAAUGAUUUGCAAUGAUGGCCCUCCAGUAGAAGUGGCUCUCGCCUCAUCCAAAUUUGCCCAAAGGUCAAGCAGGCACUACUUUUGAACCACCACUGAAGCACCCAAGGGGUUUCCCUUCCCCUGCGGACUGAACCAUAAAACACUCUUAUAGUUGUGAGAUAUGGGGGGUCCUUCUCUUCUCUCCUCCAUGGUGUGCAAGGCUAGAAAAGAGCCAGAGUGUUCAGCCAGCACUUCCUGGCUCCUGCAACACAGGAGACGAGGGAAUGGGGAGGGCCAAACCAUUAUAGAAAUGGAUGUGUGGUGGCACUGGGAAGACCCAGGUUCAUACCUCCAACUUAGCCAUAUUGCUUCCUGAGCGGCCUAUCUCGUGGGGAUACCGGGAAGACGCAACAAGCAUUGGCGAACCUCCCAGCCAUCACAAGCAAUUUGGAGGACGGGCAAAAUAAAAAUGUACACGGUGACUUAUUGUUCAUUCAUUAAGCAAGCACUGGUGCUGUACUGGAGGAAAUAGGGAUGUUGUGGUUCCUGCACGAUGGACAUGGAAUCUAAGGGCCUCUUCCCACAUUAGGUUUUUGGGGUGUUCCACACCAAAUGCAUGUGCAACAAAGAGAAGUCUGCUAUCAUUUAAAUAAGGGCCUGUUCUAGACCGUAAAACAACUUUAUCUGCCCCUACUGAGUUUUCAUCAGGAGGUGGUGAUUAGAAGGACCCAUUUCACUCCUAGGAACAGUGGCGCAGUGGAGAUCAAGUUUUAAGAGACAGGUGCAGGCCAGCCCAAAGGCUACAUCUCCCUGGGUUUUGCAUCAGACAUGUGCCAUCUAUAACUCAGUUGGUUAGAGUGUGGUGCUAAUAACACCAAGGUUGCAGGUUUGAUCCCCGUAUGGGACAGCUACGUAUUCCUGCACUGCAGGGGGUUGGACCUCAGGGUCCCUUCUGACUCUACGAUUCGAUGCCUCGGCUGCACCAGAGCUGUGGAGCUCUUACUCCAGACACCACAGCUGUGGAGCUCUUACUGUUGGAAUUGCCAGCUGCAUUAGUCUGUUAGUUCAGCUGAAGAAGUCGAUUUAGGUUAGGCACAAGACACUCCCAGCUCUGGACUGCUUUCUGGAAGCAAAGCACCCCUGAGAGCCCAGAGGAGGUUUAAACUGGAUCCCUGGAGGAUAUAUAGAUAUAUAAGUAUGUAUGUAUGUAAAGGGACCCCUGACCAUUAGGUCCCGUCACGAACGACUCUGGGGUUGCGGUGCACGAAAACGCCAUUUACCUUCCCGCUGGAGUGGUACCUAUUUAUCUACUUGCACUUUGUGCUAUCGAACUGCUAGGUUGGCAGGAGCAGGGACCGAUCAACGGGACAAUAAAGCACACAGAUUAAAACACCCAAACGACAGGUCACCUCCAGUUGCUGGCACAGCCUUGACCUAGUUUUCACUGCAGCCAGAGUAAAACAGGCAGCCUUUGGCCACAUCUUAGCAGCUGGGGAGAAGUCAUAGCAUCCAAUGUGGUGAUGGCGGUGGGAAUGAAGACAAUGGAGAGAGAGACAGAGAGCUUCCCUCCUGGAGCUGACAACACAUAACAGGAAGGGCAAUCCCAAAACUAAGCAGCAGCUUGGAAGGAUUUAAAAGAGAUGGGGAGCUGGCUAGAUUUGGAGACUGUUAUGGCGCUGUGGUUAAAUCACAGAACCUAGGGCUUGCCGAUCAGAAGGUCGGCGGUUCGAAUCCCCACAACGGGGUGAGCUCCCGUUGCUCGGUCCCUGCUCCUGCCAACCUAGCAGUUCAAAAGCACGUCAAAGUGCAAGUAGAUAAAUAGGUACCGCUCUGGUGGGAAGGUAAACGGCGUUUCCGUGUACUGCUCUGGUUUGCCAGAAGCGGCUUAGUCAUGCUGGCCACAUGACCCGGAAGCUGUACGCCAGCUCCCUCGGCCAAUAAAGCGAGAUGAGCGCUGCCACCCCAGAGUCGUCUGCGACUGAACCUAAUGGUCAGGGGUCCCUUUACCUUUAUUGCUAAAGCCGCCAGGCAAAGGGACAAAACGGUUUUAUGCCCAAACUUGUGGUGGAUCCCACAGCAUCUCCAUGUCUAGGCAAUGGGGCCUGCAGCACUCAGACAGCCCUUUCAAUGGGUCCAGUACGUUUGCAACAUCCCAGAUGUGGGACCUACCCUGAGCCAGGCUUGUGCAUGUGUGAUAAUGUCAUCCAAGCCCAGGGAAGUUGAAGAAAGCAAGUUGGCCUUGAGAGUUCAGCUCCAAAGUCUGAAUUUGGCCUCCACGUUACAACAGAAUAUUUAAAGAAGUUUGGGAUGAUUUGCAUUACUCUAGAGGAACAUCCUUCUCUCUCCCACAAACAUGCCUAGACCCUAACAGUAACUUAUGUAUUUUCAGAGCUGAUUUCAAUGCGGGAUUUCUUUUUUUGAGUGAAGACCUUAAUUCAACCCAACUGAGCAGCAUCAGCAUCCUUCUCUGGGAUACAGGCAAAAAACCAACAACUGAUGAACAAUGGAGUGGGUGCAUGUUAAACAGAGCAGACUAACAUGGGGAAGAGGUGAGAGAACCCGAUUUCCAACUGGUGUAAACCUUCCAUUUUCUAAAGUCCGUAAAGCAGAAAGUGAGAACUCAGAAUUGGCAGCAAUGAUUUUUGCAGGCACUGAUCAGGGAAAUUAUCCCUAAACUCAAUAUCUGUUUAUGCAGAAGCAAGUCCCAC